GCCUUUGGGGCAAGGUGAAAUUCCUGACCGGCGGUAAAGUCCGCGAGCUGUUUCAGCUGAUCCGGUGUGAUUCCGGAACCGACAGUAUAGUCUGGAUGGGAAAAGGC
rnacentral:ncRNA from 1 species